UACAGAGGUCCCAAGCGUUGUUCGGAUUCACUGGGCGUAAAGGGUGCGUAGGUGGUGAGGUAAGUCGGAUGUGAAAUCUCCGGGCUCAACCCGGAAAUGGCAUUCGAAACUACCUUGCUAGAGGAUUUGAGGGGGGACUGGAAUACUUGGUGUAGCGGUGAAAUGCGCAGAUAUCAGGAGGAACACCGAUGGCGAAGGCAGGUCUCUGGGCCGAUACUGACGCUGAGGAGCGAAAGCGUGGGGAGCGAACAGG
rnacentral:rRNA from 1 species